rnacentral:rRNA from 1 species
UCCGGGAUACGCUGGCGGCGUGCUAAUACUGCAGUCGAGCGAACUUUUGGGAGCUUGCUCCCAAAAGUUAGCGGCGGACGUGAUAACACGUGGGCACCUGCCUAUAAGACUGGGAUAACUUCGGGAAACCGGAGCUAAUACCGGAUACAUAUGAGACCACAUGGUCUCAUAUUAAAAGAUGGCUUUUAGCUAUCACUUAUAGAUUGGCCCGCGGCGCAUUAGCUAGUUGGUGAGGUAAUGGCUCACCAAGGCGACGAUGCGUAGCCGACCUGAGAGGGUGAUCGGCCACACUGGGACUGAGACACGGCCCAGACUCCUACGGGAGGCAGCAGUAGGGAAUCUUCCGCAAUGGACGAAAGUCUGACGGAGCAACGCCGCGUGAGCGAAGAAAGGUCUUCGGAUCGUAGAGCUCUGUUGUUAGGGAAGAACAAGUACCGUUCAGAUAGGGCGGUACCUUGACGGUACCUAACCAGAAAGCCACGGCUAACUACGUGCCAGCAACCGCGGUAAUACGUAAGUAGCAAGCGAUAUCCGGAAUUAUUGGGCGUAAAGCGCGCGCAGGCGGUCCUUUAAGUCUGAUGUGAAAGCCCACGGCUCAACCGUGGAAGGUCAUUGGAAACUGGGGGACUUGAGUGCAGAAGAGGAGAGCCGGAUUCCACGUGUAGCGGUAAAAUGCGUAGAGAUGUGGA